UACGGAAGGUGCAAGCGUUAAUCGGAAUUACUGGGCGUAAAGGGCGCGUAGGCGGCCCGUUAAGUCGAACGUGAAAUCCCCAGGCUCAACCUGGGAACUGCGUCCGAUACUGGCGGGCUUGAAUCCGGGAGAGGGAUGCGGAAUUCCAGGUGUAGCGGUGAAAUGCGUAGAGAUCCGGAGGAACACCGAAGGCGAAGGCAGUGUCCUGGCGCGUAACUGACGCUGAGGUGCGAAAGCCAGGGGAGCGAACGGG
rnacentral:rRNA from 1 species